AAGGAUGCUGUUAGGCCAGUUGCCUACUGACCUUCCAGAGACUCUAAAAUCAACUUUCUCUACACCUUCUGAAUUGUUUGCGUUUGUUUUCAGCUUGUCGGAGCCUCCUGCCCAGCCCACCCUUCUCCCCCCUCCUCCCUGCCCCCUCCCCUCCCUCCGGCCUCUCGGGCUCCCCCCGCACCCCGCCCUCGUCUUUGUUGUCUCCUACCUGCUGGCCAGGCUCUGCCUGCAGUGCUGCCUGAAGGGCAUCAGGUGGUAGUUCAUGGCGUCCAGCAGCAGCUUCUGGCAGACGGGGUCGGUGCGCAUGAAAUCCACUGACUGGACCCGCUCCACCAGCUCCGGGGCCGGGAUGAGUGCGAAGCGGAGGCGCUUCAUGAGGUCGGGCGCGUACUGCAUGCGGGUCUCGCGGUCGUGCUCCAGCCACAGCACGGACAUCUGGAAGAGCGCCAGCUCCGACUCCACGGGGGGCGGCAGCGAGUCCAGCAGGGCGCGCAUCUCCUCGAAGUUAAGCAGCAGCACAUCUUCCACCAGUUCUGCACCGAGAUCUGGUCGUUGAGGAACUGCACGCAGAGCUUGGUGACCUGGGGGAUGUGCAAGAUCUUGCUGACCGACAGCACCUCCUCCACCGUGUCCAGGGAGAGGGUCACGUUGGCCGUAUAGAGGUACUCGAGCACUAGACGCAGCCCGAUGGACGAGCAGCCCUGCAACACCAGCAGGUUGAGGCCGUGCAGCAGGUUGUCGCUGUGGCUGGGGUCGAAGGUAGAGGUCCUGUCCCCGGAUCUGGACAUGGCGAGCUGACUCGGCACACCUGGCUUUAAACCCUCCUCCAACCUGGCAGACAGGGGUGGGGGAUGGGAGG